GGAAGCGGAAGCGCGCGGAAGCGGAAGCGGAAGCGGCGGCAGCAAUGGCGGCGGCCUGGGGCAGGAUCGGGGCGCUCAGCGGAGCCGCCGCCAUGGCGGGCGCGGCCUACGGGGCCCACGGAAUGCGCCUCAGUGACCGGGACGAGUAUCAGAAAGAGCUCUACGACACCGCCAAUCGCUUCCACCUCCUGCACAGCCUGGCGCUGCUGGCGACCCCGCACUGCCGCCGCCCCCACCUGGUGAGACCCCCAAA